CUUGGUGGCUUUAUUAUACCAGAGGUCCCCAGGUGCCAGCUAAUGGUCACUAUUUCCUUCAACUAGAAGUUCCUGGUUUAUACUGACCACAGGAUCCCCCAUCCCCCACCACUACCCCCAUUUCUUCCUUCUUUCUGAGAUCAUCCUCUCGGCCUGUUUCCCAAACUCAGGGCUGAGCCCCAGCACCCACCAUGCCCAAAGCCAGCACGGGGUGAGGCCUCAGACUAAGUAUUGAAGCACAGGGACAGCACCGGACCUCCUCAUGCCCCACACCCAAGGCCCCUGGCUUGUCCCAGCCUACUUCAAGCCCUGCCCUCCACCUAACCACCUGUCCUAGGCUACCCCGCAGAGUUCAAGGCUGUGCCCACACACACACACACACCCCUACAGGGCUUUACUGGCUUGUGUCUCCAGGCCACCUGCUCCCCAGUAGUCAGCCCCAUGAGCCCCAACUUUUGGAUGUCUCCACCCCGUCACCUCUUCAGUCCUACCCACCUGCAGCCCGCUCUCCCAAGCUCCCUCACCCCUGAUGUAUUUCUCUGCACUUUGUCCAACGUCCCCUCAACACUAGUGGCCUCUUCCGUCAUCAGCCGGAUAUCCCUGGGACAUGACAAAGUACGCAGAAUGAACUCCCUGACUGUGGAAAGUGAGUUGACAAUAUUUACUGAAACCCUAGGCAUUCAUUCGUCUCUCUGCUUGGUGCUUGGAGCAGGGGAUCUCCACUAGGCGAAGGAACGUGACGAUGGCCAGGAGGCCCACCUAGCCAGGGCUCUCAUCCACAAAAGACCCCAGGAUUCAUCUGCUCCGAGUGACAGUCGGCAAGGACAGGACAAGUAGGUAGAGGGGAAAGAAGGCCACUUGACUGUGCUUCUUAGGAUUGGUGUCCUGUUCCAGGUCACCUGGUUUGUGCUCCGCAACUGUCUUGGGACUAGAUGUCUAGAUAUCA